UACAGAGGUCUCAAGCGUUGUUCGGAUUCAUUGGGCGUAAAGGGUGCGUAGGUGGCGAGGCAAGUCGGAUGUGAAAUCCCGGGGCUCAACCCCGGAACUGCAUUCGAUACUGCCUUGCUAGAGUACUGGAGAGGAGAUUGGAAUUUACGGUGUAGCAGUGAAAUGCGUAGAUAUCGUAAGGAAGACCAGUGGCGAAGGCGGGUCUCUGGACAGUUCCUGACGCUGAGGCACGAAGGCCAGGGGAGCAAACGGG
rnacentral:rRNA from 1 species